GAUGAACGCUAGCGGCAGGCCUAACACAUGCAAGUCGAGGGGUAGCAGGAUUAAGCUUGCUUAAUUGCUGACGACCGGCGCACGGGUGCGUAACGCGUAUGCAACCUACCUUAUACUGGGGUAUAGCCCGGAGAAAUUCGGAUUAAUCCCCCAUAGUACUAAUGAAUCGCAUGGUUUAUUAGUUAAAGCAUUGCGGUAUAAGAUGGGCAUGCGUCCUAUUAGCUAGAUGGUGAGGUAACGGCUCACCAUGUCUACGAUAGGUAGGGUGCCUGGGAGGGUGGUCCCCCACACUGGUACUGUGACACGGACCAGACUGCUACGGGAGGCAGCAGUGAGGAAUAUUUGGCAAUGGGCGCAAGCCUGAACCAGCCAUGCCGCGUGCAGGAAGCAUGCCCUAUGGGUUGUAAACUGCUUUUAUUUGGGAAUAAACCUCUUUACGUGUAGAGAGCUGAAGGUACCAAAUGAAUAAGCACCGGCUAACUCCGUGCCAGCCGCCGCAGUAA
rnacentral:rRNA from 1 species